GCGCGCCUAGCUCAGUUGGUUAGAGCAUCUCGUUUACACCGAGGGGGUCAGGGGUUCGAAUCCCUUGGCGCGUACUA
rnacentral:tRNA from 3 species